CGGCGAGUGAAACAGGAAAAGCCCAUCGCUGAAUCCCUAAGCUUUUGCUCUGGGACCUGUAGCGUUAAUGAAAGUCGCUCUGCUGGCGUUAUUAUCGUAAGCUCCCUUGAUUGGGACCCCAUAGAGGGUGGAAGGCCCGUAACGAUAUGUUAGUCAGUGGUAUGAUUUUCAAAAGAGUCGGGUUGCUUGAGAGUGCAGCCCAAAGACGGUGGUAAACUCCAUCUAAGGCUAAAUAUGACCACAAGACCGAUAGCGAACAAGUACCGCGAGGGAAAGUUGAAAAGAACUUUGAAGAGAGAGUUCAAAAGGGCGUGAAACCGUUUAGAAGUAAACGGAUAAAGCCGCAAGGUAGUUGCAAAAAUCAGCCAGGCAAAAGGGUGAACAAUGGUCGGUCGAUUGAUAAAACGACUGGCUGUGUUAGUAGCCUCUGUCUGGUGCACUUUUUGCGACGAAGCAUCGCGACCAAGGUGAAUUCUGACGAAAGGGCAAGCUUGAAGACAGAGCCGAGUGUUCUGUGCCUAGGUUUCCUGGAAGUCAGUAAACAACUUUGGUUUCCCUAGCAGUGGCCGUAAGGGGUGGUGAAAUCUAUUGGCUGGCUUGGUCGAAAUGUCUGAUUCUGCUUGCAGGCUCGGGCGACACCUAGGUCGGUUGGUGGGUGGAUCUACUAUCUGCGAAGGCUCGGCGAUGUCAGUGGCGGCGACUUAUCCGACCCGUCUUGAAACACGGACCAAGGAGUCUAACAUGUGCGCGAGUUAUUGAGUGGUAAACUCAAAGGCGAAAUAAAAGUAAAGACGGCGUAAGCUGGCUUAAAUAUGAUCCCUGACUUCGGUCGGGGCGGAGUAUUGUCCCAUCUAUGAGGUUCGUCCUCUGGGUGGCGAAAGAGCGUAAAUGUUGGGACCCGAAAGAUGGUGAACUAUGCCUGAGCAGAACGAAGCCAGAGGAGACUCUGGUGGAGGUUCGUAGCGGUUCUGACGUGCAAAUCGAUCGUCAGACUUGGGUAU
rnacentral:rRNA from 1 species